GAUGACGAGACUUCAUGUUCAACUUCACUUUCCUACUAGGCCUACUACUAAACGCAUCUACAUUGCGCGGUAUGCCGGUGGGAGGAAUUUAGAACUGAUUUCACGCCACCAAAUAAAAAACCCGCGCCGAUGCGCGGGUUUUUUU
rfam:Brenneria sp. EniD312 chromosome, whole genome shotgun sequence.